CAGUCAUAGACUUUGGCAAAAUAGGAGCAGUCUCCACUUCUCUCCACUCCUUUACUUCUAUUCAGCUAGGGAUAGAUGAUACAUAACUCAAACAAGCAAAAAAACUUCUACCUAUCUAUAAUCUCGAUGACAGCCGUUAGCCUCUUCCUGAUGGAAUGGGAACACUUACUUAUGAAGUAUACGUCCAAGGUACCCAGAAUUUGUCAACAGAGGGCCUCAAGGCGUCGAUAUUGGGAUGAAGAACUUAACAAGCUUUCUACUCAAUGUCCGGUCAGAAGGCAAAGUCCAACGUGUUCUAAUCUGGGCGGUAUGGACCAGAAGUCGAUGUUAUUCUUGAGAAAAUUAUUUACCACUUUUGUCGUGUGUGCAAGAGUCCAGUCCUGCUGUAGCACCUGAAGCGGCCUCUCCCCCAUCACCAACGAAUUUCGACCAAAGUUAUUUACCAUGUUUCUCGAUUUUCCUAUCGUCCACACCCAGGUCUGUUUCAUAAAAUUUCAUUGACUUAGUUUGGUCUGCCUUCAAAUAAGUUUUUUGUUGAUUUUGGAUCAAUAAUUGUCUUCCAACUGCAACAUGGACACUUGUCCAUGCGGUUGUCGUACUCCCUUCUCCUCUAAACUGUGUAAACAGUGGGUCUGGAUGUGCCCACUUGGCAAGCAUUCUCUGCCACGCUCAUCCUUGCACGAAAUAGCUGCGACAUCUUAAUUCUGUUAUCUCUUUCUGUAGUCAUCUUAGACUGGAGAAAAAAAUGCUAGUAAUAAACACUGGAGCUUGUUCAUCAAGGAGUCCUUUAAAUUUAAGACUUUUUGGAAUAAAUGUCACGAAACUCCUCAUGAAAGAAGGCUACCUUUUUUUAAAGAUUGAAAAUCGGCACCCUUUAUCUAAAUUGUAGAUUGCACAUUUCACUUUAGAACAUAUGAGUUUAGCUACAUGAUCAGGAGUCAGACAAAAUGUCUAUGAUUCAUUAAACAUUAUAUUAUAGGGUUAUGUAUCACGUCAUAAAUGAUGGAGGAAUGGACAACCAAAUAAAUAAGCAUAUUUAUAGAUUCUACAUUGGUACUGCUGUAGAAAUUUUCUUAACUUUGAAAUUAUGUACUUAUUUAAUGAGGACACUUAAAUAUGUCUUUCCCUUCCUUCUCCAAAGGAUUUUCCUCAUUAAAGCAUUAAAUUAUAAGUAUAUAUAUAUAUAUAUGUAAUGUUCAAAUACAUACAUCUUAUAUAUAUUUCUAAUGAUGAGGGGAAUAUUUUCGUUCUUUGCUUCAUUUUAUUUCUUAUUUGGGCACUAUUUUUUAAGAAAGAGAAAAGGAAAGACGGAACUCAUUCCUGUGAAUAAGUUUUCCCUCUUAUCAAUUCCUUCUUUUAAUUUAUGGGUCUUCUUAUUUUUUCUGUUAAUAUUUUCUUGUAAACUAAAAAUAAUUAUAGUAAUAACAAUCUCGGAAAAAGCUAGUAGCUAUUUUUUUUUUUUUAAAUUAUUCACUUAUCUGUGAAAAACGACGACAACGGAGCUUUCUAUCUAUGAAGUAUAUAUUAUAUGUGCAUAUGUAUAAAUUUCUCUACAGUAUCAUUCGACUCAUUUAUGUGAAUAGUCUAUUUAUUAAUUUAAAGAUCCUUUUAGAUGCCAAAUGUUGUUAUUAUACUUUUUAUUUUAUUGUAUAAAUUAUAAUAUUCGUUGAUACUCAUACAUCAUGGGGUCUGAACUUUCGAAAUCACAAUUUUCUAUGUAUGUAGAACCACAUUUCUCAUAGUGGGUGUCGCACAAAACUGGGGUCAAGGUUGGUUUUAUCAAGAGCAGUACUUAGGACAAUGAUAAAUUGCUGGGGUAAUUAGAGUAUAAGUCCAAUUCUGCGUCUUGGAUAUUUAUGGGUAAGAAUGUUUUAAUAGGAUGUUACGUUUUUCCGCUUUCCACAUUUUAUUUUCCUUUACAGAGGCCAGAAUAAAAAUCAUAUUUUAAGGGCUUUUGCGGUAUACACAUUUAGGAGAUUUCUAAUCACUUUCUUGCUGAAAAUCUUUUAAUUUUUUCUCCAGACCGCAGCUUCGGUGUCAUUUCAAAAUCAUACUAUGAUCAGUAAAUAAUUGAUUGUGUUGAAGAUUUAGUGGAAAUAGUCGAAAAUACAUCAACUAAACUAAGUGUGAUAUAUUCCAAGAAGAGCGGAUGCCCAGUAAUUCAGUAGUAUAAUUGAGAGACAUUUUUAGACUAUUAUUUUCACCCUUUAAAAGGAACAAAAAAUUAUCACACAUUUACUUUCAAAUCUUUUUUCCUGGAGUUGUACAUGUCAAAAAAUGGUCUGAUAGUAUAAAAGCUAUUUCUAAAAAUGUAUUAAAACCUCAAAUUCCGUACUCUGAUUUGCCAUUAUCUAUUCUUGAAGGAUAUAUAAUGCUGAAAAAUAAAUUAGCAGAAGAAAGAAGGGAAAAUCGUUCCUUUGGUUUAUCGUGAUAAAAAAAAGCGUUUCUUAAAGUCUAUAAAAAACGAAUCGAUAUUAAUCCACACAGAAUUAGUUAAUAUUCCUUCUUCUCAAGAUAAUGAUUUUGUAUUUCCAUCUACUUCUUCUUCUUCACCAUCCAUCAAUUCAAGCAAUAAUAGUCAAUUUUAUCCUCACCAACAAAAAAUUUGGUACAAGAUAUUUCCUCAUCAUCUUUGAGCAAUUUAUUAGAAAGUACGGAUUUACCUAUAACUUUUGAUCUGGAUCGAGAAUUUCCAGAAAAUGAUUUGUUUAAGUCCCGAAAAAUAAAAAAAGUAAUGCUCCUCAAGUGAUUGACGUAAUUAGAACAAUAUAUAUUUAAUUAAGAAGAUAAUUUUGUUUGGAUAUUGUAUAAUUUGAAUAAAAAACAUUAUAAAAAUCGUGCAAGAAAUAUAUAUUUACAAAUUACAAGUCAUAAUCUAUAUAAGGAAUUAUAAGAUUAUUCUUCUAUGAAGGUUUUUGUUAUCUACUACUUGUAUUCACGAUAAUUGACCAUGGAUAAGAACCCAUUAUAAAAGUAUAUGUUUAUAUAAAUGCUUUAUAAUUAAUUAUAGUUGUUAAUAAGCCAAGUAUUGAUUAUUGUCUAUUGUUAAAUUUUUGAAUAAUUUUGUUUUAAUGUUAAUAUAUUAGGUAUAUUAAGA
rnacentral:lncRNA from 1 species